AUUGAACGCUGGCGGCGUGCUUAACACAUGCAAGUCGAUCGGUAACAGGUGUAGCAAUACAUGCUGACGAGAGGCGGACGGGUGAGGAAUAUUUGGGAAUCUGCCCAUCAGCGGGGGACAACCCGGGGAAACCCGGGCUAAUACCGCAUACGCUCUACGGAGGAAAGCCGGGGACCGCAAGGCCUGGCACUGAUGGAUGAGCCCAAAUCGGAUUAGCUAGUUGGCGGGGUAACGGCCCACCAAGGCGACGAUCCGUAGCUGGUCUGAGAGGACGAUCAGCCACACCGGAACUGAGACACGGUCCGGACUCCUACGGGAGGCAGCAGUGGGGAAUAUUGGACAAUGGGGGAAACCCUGAUCCAGCGACGCCGCGUGGGUGAAGAAGGCCUGCGGGUUGUAAAGCACUUUAAGCGAGGAGGAGGCUCUUUUGGUUAAUACACAAGAUGAGUGGACGUUACUCGCAGAAUAAGCACCGGCUAACCCUGUGCCAGCCGCCGCCGUAA
rnacentral:rRNA from 1 species